CCUGAAGAUGAGCCACUGAUCAACGCUUUCAUAACAUCUUGAAUAACAACUCGUUUGGACGAAGACUACGCUACGGUUGUGUGACAAUAGUGCAAUAGAUAAAGUUUGCAGUAGAAGAAGAAAGAAACCACUAUCGUCAUGGUCUGACUUUUGAUAAAGGCCUCCAUCUACGUGGUGAGGAAGAUCCGGGCCUCCAUCCAGGAAGGGGAGCAGAAGGAGGAACCCAUCUUCACACCAUGUAGUCUGGCCAAAGGUGAGCAGAAGCAGCUCUCAGCGUCUGGGAAGACAGCCAUGUUGACCUCUGACCCUGACGAUGCGCCAGGGGUCGGGGCGCAGGCCCCUCCCACUGAGACGGCGGUGCAGCCGUGCGGAGGCUCUUCCUGAGGGUUAAAGCGCUAAAGGUCACGCCUGCAGGUUGCCUGGGGUAACGGGAUGUCAACAAACACUGCUGUCCGCCAGAAGUCUUGUGCCAUCGCUUGGACGGGAUCGACAUGUCACUCAUGAUGGCAGAUCCCCCAGACUAGCCAUGGCAGACGUGACCUUUCUCUCUUUCUCUCUCUCUCUCUCUCUCUGUCUCUCUAUCUAUCUAUCUAUCUAUCUAUCUCUUCCCCCCCUCUCUCUCAGCUGUUAAUGAUGGUCUGCACAUCAACCCUUCAUCGAGGGGCUGUUCAGACCUGAAGUUUUUCUUCAGCCGAGAACACACACACUACAACAUGGAUAUACUUAUGCAAACACACACCUACAGUACACACUCACUCUUCAGAAUUAAUGUACUUAUACAGACACACUCCUUCACACAUAUAUUUUAAUUUGACAUUUUUACAUAUCUAAUCUCAACCCAACGUGUCAUUUUUAAUCAUGGUGUGUUGACAAAUGUGCUCAAUGACAAAUAAACAGUUAACAUAA